AAUGGAGGCCCAAAGAAAUUAACUAGGUUGUUGGUUAUAUAAUUAUUUAAUGGGACUCUAGAUCUUGAUGUCAGGUCUUCUGAUUGUUAAAGUCACUUUAUUCCCAGGUUAUUGGUCUGUCUUCUCAUCCACAGCAGAGUUCAAAAUGAGCACAGCUUCCCCACAGAGCAGGUGCUAUGAGCAGUGUAGCAGAUCAUCUGCCUCAAGAUCUUCUUCCUACUACCAGAUCUUUUACAUGGCUAGGAAAAUGGAUGUCUGCAGCCACAGAUUCAGAUUCUCCCAGUGACUACAUGUAAAUAAAUAUAA